CCCGGGGCUGCCCAGGGCUGCGGGCUCCAGGCACCCAGAGCGCUGCGACCACAUGAAAGGCCCGGCGCUCAGCACCCGCCAGCCACCUCCAGCUGGUUUCUAACUACACCGCCGGGGCCUCCAUGCUUCUCAGAGACCAGCCUUCGAAGUGCCGCCUUACACCCGGGGCCUGGCCACCGGGCGGGCGCGGAUGGAGCUCUGGUCCACAUUUGGGAGCUCACAGUUGUUCCUGCCAGGAACCAGCCAGAACAGGAGGCAGCCAGGGAGAGGGGAGCCAGGGAGAACACAGCCUCAGUCCUGGAAGGAGAGGGCCUGCUGGGAAGAACAGAACCCAGCUGUCUUGGCCCCAGAUGUGGAAGCUGAGACUUAAAGAAGCUAUGAAACUUGAUCAGGUCAUGCAGCGCCAGAGGACCCAAGGUGGGAUCUCAACCCAGACUGUUUGGCUCCAAAGCUGAACUGCUACAUUACGUUGCUUCAGCAAACAGUCAUUCAGAGACAAUGGGCUUUAGAGGAGUUUAGUGAUGUUACUAACAAACAUAAGUACCUUGUACUAACCUCCUGGUGCCCAAGUGUUUGAGGUGAGAAAAACUGAAACAUGAAAAGCCCAGAGAGGUAAAGUGACUGGCUCAAGCAAAUACAGGCUCCAGCUGCAGCCACUUUGAAGAUAAAGUUUCCUCCAUAGAAAUUCUGCAAUACAGAUGUCCUUCCGCGGUCCCAGUUCAGUCCUGCACCAGUUCCUUUUCCCACUGGGAAAUUUCUUUCCUCUUCCUACUUCCAUGCAACUGCGAGGCAAGGCUCAAGCCCACUUCCUUCUCCUUUUCCUGUGCCUCCCUGUGGAGGGAGCUCCCUCUUCUUC
rnacentral:lncRNA from 10 species